rnacentral:piRNA from 1 species
UCCACUAGACAGAUGGGAAAAGAUGGUCC